UACGUAGGGUGCGAGCGUUGUCCGGAAUUACUGGGCGUAAAGCGCGUGUAGGCGGCUAUGUAAGUCGGGCGUGAAAUCCCACGGCUCAACCGUGGAAGUGCACCCGAAACUGCGUAGCUAGAGUCCUGGAGAGGAAGGUGGAAUGCUUGGUGUAGAGGUGAAAUUCGUAGAUAUCAAGCGGAACACCGGUGGCGAAGGCGGCCUUCUGGACAGUGACUGACGCUGAGACGCGAAAGCGUGGGGAGCAAACAGG
rnacentral:rRNA from 1 species